UUUUCUUUUAAUCAUUAUUUUUGUACCACAUUGAUAGCAAUAUGCUAUAUUCUUGUGAAUAUAACCAAUGACCUAGUAUCUAUGCUAAGAAAAUUAGAGAAGCAAGGCAAGCACAGCUUGGCGCCAAGGCAAGCACCACCCUAACGCCAACCUAUUUUAUUUUCUCAAACCUAUAUUCACCAUACCAUAUCGAGAGGGAGAAAAAGGAAAGUAGUGACUUUCCUUAUAUAAACACAUACAUGUCUAAGCUUACUAAAUAGGAAGCUCUUGGCUAAAUCUAGGAACGAAGUUGUUGGACUUGAGACUUAAAUUAGGACAUUGUGCACUGAAAGAAUUUUGGAGAAGGAUGUUCUGGAAAGGAUAAGAAUGUGAUGAACUAAGGUUUUAGUGGCAACGAGAGGCAUGUAGCAAGUAAAGGAAGAUGCUAGUGUAAUAUGUUUGUGUUUGUGUUAGGAGCUUACGAUGUAAUCUUUUGUUACAAACUUGAAGACGUUGUAAGAGCUUUAUCUUAUUAA